AGUGAACGCUGGCGGUAGGCCUAACACAUGCAAGUCGAACGGCAGCACAGUAAGAUCUUGCUCUUACGGGUGGCGAGUGGCGGACGGGUGAGGAAUACAUCGGAAUCUACUUUUUCGUGGGGGAUAACGUAGGGAAACUUACGCUAAUACCGCAUACUACCUACGGGUGAAAGCAGGGGAUCUUCGGACCUUGCGCGAUUGAAUGAGCCGAUGUCGGAUUAGCUAGUUGGCGGGGUAAAGGCCCACCAAGGCGACGAUCCGUAGCUGGUCUGAGAGGAUGAUCAGCCACACUGGAACUGAGACACGGUCCAGACUCCUACGGGAGGCAGCAGUGGGGAAUAUUGGACAAUGGGCGAAAGCCUGAUCCAGCCAUACCGCGUGGGUGAAGAAGGCCUUCGGGUUGUAAAGCCCUUUUGUUGGGAAAGAAAAGCAGCAGGUUAAUACCCCGCUGUUCUGACGGUACCCAAAGAAUAAGCACCGGCUAACUUCGUG
rnacentral:rRNA from 1 species